rnacentral:rRNA from 1 species
AUUGAACGCUGGCGGCAUGCCUUACACAUGCAAGUCGAACGGCAGCACGGGAGCUUGCUCCUGGUGGCGAGUGGCGAACGGGUGAGUAAUACAUCGGAACGUACCCUGAAGUGGGGGAUAACGUAGCGAAAGUUACGCUAAUACCGCAUAUUCUGUGAGCAGGAAAGAGGGGGAUCGCAAGACCUCUUGCUUUAGGAGCGGCCGAUGUCGGAUUAGCUAGUUGGUGAGGUAAAGGCUCACCAAGGCGACGAUCCGUAGCGGGUCUGAGAGGAUGAUCCGCCACACUGGGACUGAGACACGGCCCAGACUCCUACGGGAGGCAGCAGUGGGGAAUUUUGGACAAUGGGCGCAAGCCUGAUCCAGCCAUGCCGCGUGAGUGAAAAAGGCCUCGGUUGUAAG